rnacentral:rRNA from 1 species
AAAUACCAAACACCCGCACAAGCUCCUAACCACACACUGAGCCACACUAUUAAUAUAGCCGAACUUAUGUUAAAACUAGUAACAAGAAAACUUCUCUUCGCACCCCCGUGCGCCAGUUAUAGAAGGCCUACUGGCAAUUAACAGACCAAACAGCGCCAAACAACAAAACAAUGUUCAACAAACUGUCACACCAACACCGGAGUGCUAUAAAGACAGAUUAAAAGCCGUAAAAGGAACUCAGCAAAACCCUGUCCCAACUGUUUACCAAAAACAUAGCCCCCGGCAACACAAGUAUCGGGGGUAUCGCCUGCCCAGUGAAAUUCUUUCAACGGCCGCGGUAUUCUAACCGUGCAAAGGUAGCGUAAUCAUUUGUCUUCUAAAUAAAGACCAGUAUGAACGGCUAAAUGAGGACAAACCUGUCUCCUACGCCCAAUCAGUGAAACUGAUCUCUCAGUACAAAAGCUGGAAUAAACACACAAGACGAGAAGACCCCGUGGAGCUUAAGACCAACUGCUAAUAAUGCCCUAUUACCUAGCACAAGGUCUUGAGUUGGGGCGACUUCGGAACAAAACAAAACUUCCGAGCACAGAACCAACAGUUCUCACCAAGGCCUACAAGCCAAAGAGCAACAUGACCCAGUCACACUGACCAACGAACCAAGUUACCCCGGGGAUAACAGCGCUAUCUUCUUCAAGAGCCCCUAUCGACAAGAAGGUUUACGACCUCGAUGUUGGAUCAGGACACCCCAGUGGUGCAGCCGCUAUUAAAGGUUCGUUUGUUCAACGAUUAACAGUCCUACGUGAUCUGAGUUC